GCAAUAUUGUGAAGUUAUUGUUAGUUUAGUGCUGAAAAGGGAUGCGAUUCUACCUCGUCCUCAUGCUGAGAUGAACAAUAUGGGUGAUGCUCUUAUGAUGGCAAUUGCAUGGCCAUAUAAAAAGUUGAAGGUUACCAAGGCAUCAAAAUCCUCCUUGGGUACUGCAGGCAGUGCUGAAAGAAAUGCUAAGAACUAGGAAGGAUGCUUGAAGCUGUUUACAAGUUCGAAGAUCACAUCAAGAUUU